rnacentral:rRNA from 1 species
GACAGAGGUGCCAAGCGUCAUGCGGAAUCACUGGGCUUAAAGCGUGUGUAGGCGGCAUGUUAAGUACCUUGUGAAAUCCCACGGCUCAACCGUGGAACUGCUUGGUAUACUGCUUUUCUUGAGCCACUUAGGGGCUGUCGGAACACACGGUGGAGCGGUGAAAUGCGUAGAUAUCGUUUGGAACGCCAACGGUGAAAACAGACAGCUGGGAGUGUGCUGACGCUGAGACACGAAAGCCAGGGGAGCGAACGGG